AGUGUAAUGUCUAUGGAAGCAGU
rnacentral:miRNA from 1 species